rnacentral:pre_miRNA from 1 species
GAAGUAAUCCCUCCGUCUCAUAUUAAGUGUCUUUUCUAUUACAUGUAUCUAGAUACCUUUUAGACAUAGAUGCAUCCAUAUUUGAUCAAAUUUGAGUCACUUAAUAUGGGAUGGAGGGACUACUAC